CAUGGCUUAAGCCUUGCUUUUACUAGUGCCUUGAUAGAACCUGAACUUGAAACCACUUUUAAGGGUUCCAGCAUUCCUGUCAUUUCAAAACAACCCAUCCUAUGCAAAGGGACUUGCAUGUUCCAAGGGGGGACAGUGUAACCCAGUGUUUAAAAACACAAGAAAAAAAUAAUAGAUGUUGAUUCAAUGUCUUAUUCUACCAAAAUAGCUAAAAGGUAAUUACGUAAAUCUUCAAAAAAUGUGAAAUAUGCUUUUAGUGUUAGCUUCUAUUGACAGAUUAGGCAGCCAAUGGCUGGCGCGGUCUGGUUUCGUGUCGGCCAAUGGGGUUGAUCGUCCCGCCCCUUUUUAACAGCUGGCGGUUGUUUCGUUCGGAGCGCGGCAGACAGGCUUGAAAGCUAACAGCUGACGGUUGCUUCGCUCAGAACGCUUGAGAACAGCUGACGGUUGUUUCGCUGCGAACGCUUGAGAGCUAACAGCUGACGGUCGUUUCCGUAAAGAGGUAGAAAGAAACUGACGAAUCUGGAAAUUGAUCUCGGAGGGUUUCCCCCGUGAACAGCUGAAGCCCGAAAAAUAGCCGUUGACAGCUCGGAGCAUCGGUCAGGGGUUUUUUUUGGAGUUUGUACAGUACACUUUUGGCUUGGAGGGCCAAAGAUUCCAAGACCCUCUUCUCCUGAAACUGGAUGGCGAGCCCCAGCCCAGAGGACCAGGCGCACGGGUAGAUAGUGACCCGACUGGUCACCAGCUGAGAGACUUUGAGACUGAAGAAUUAAUUCAUUGGAGACUGAAGUAUUCAAUUUAUUUAUUUAUUUAUUUUUUUUAAAAGCGCGCAGUAUUUGUUUGUCUGUUUUAAAUGUGGAUCCACAAUUGUUUAUUAUAUUAAAUAUUUGCUCUUUUCUUGUA